AAAUCCUGCGAAAGCCACUGAAAGCUCAGCAUGUAAAAUACUGUUGAAACGAGGAACAUAAUACACACUCAUGAGGUGGCUUGUGAGCACUUUCUUUUCACCUCACAUAUGAACCUGAGGAGCGCACACCUUGCCCAAGUGUGUAGAGAUGACUCGGCCCUUCGCAGGCCCAGGCGGAUGAAGGAAUGGUACAUGGUGAGCGCCACAUCGCUGAGGCUGUGGAUGCCAUCUGGCUCAUCAUAGACGUUCUCCCAGUAGGAGCGGAGGCCCGGGGUGCCCGCAGGAUAGUUCCCAUACAGGAUGGACUGGUGAGUGAGCAGGAAGCCCCGAAGAAAGAAGCAUCCUGGCAUGGUGCUGAACUUCUCACCACCUUCACUUCCUGAGUCCCAGCACCUCUGUACUGGAGAGGAGUUGGACAUCACUAGGGAAUCAGCCUACUUGAGUUCAUGCCCUCUGCUACUUCCUGGGCAUACCACCCAAAUGCUCCAGCCUCAAUUUUCCUGUCUUUGAAGCGUGGACAGAAGCAUGAGUUACCAGCACAUGUUAUCAGUUGCUGUUAAGUGAUUACCACUGCCACUUCAUUUGGCUACUAGGUUCCCUAUUGACCUACAGGUUGUCAUUACAUAGGGACAAUAACCAGUCUCACUGGCAAGAUGGCUUCCAUCUCUAACUGUUAUUCUGCUAUUCUCUGACUGCAGAUUGAUCUUCUUC